rnacentral:rRNA from 1 species
AGCGAACGCUGGCGGCAGGCCUAACACAUGCAAGUCGAACGAACCUUUCGGGGUUAGUGGCGGACGGGUGAGUAACACGUGGGAACGUGCCUUUAGGUUCGGAAUCACUCAGGGAAACUUGUGCUAAUACCGAAUGUGCCCUUCGGGGGAAAGAUUUAUCGCCUUUAGAGCGGCCCGCGUCUGAUUAGCUAGUUGGUUGAGGUAAUGGCUCACCAAGGCGACGAUCAGUAGCUGGUCUGAGAGGAUGAUCAGCCACAUUGGGACUGAGACACGGCCCAAACUCCUACGGGGGGCAGCAGUGGGGAAUCUUGCGCAAGGGGCGAAAGCCUGACGCAGCCAGGCCGCGUGAAUGAGGAAGGUCUUAGGAUUGUAAAAUUCUUUCUCCGGGGACGAUAAUGACGGUACCCGGAGAAGAAGCCCCGGCUAACUUCGUG